rnacentral:misc_RNA from 1 species
GGAGUAUCUUCUUUUGAUGGCAAUGAUUCCUCCCUUUCCCUAUUUCUGCUCUCCAAUUCAUAUGUGACAGUAGUACCAUCUGUAGUCUCAACAAUGGCUGAAGGGGCCAACAUAUCAAUCCUUUCCUCAUUAUUAGAGUUUGAUGAGUCAAUAUCAUGAACUCGCACUCCCUGCUUAUCCAUAUUGGUAUUGUCAAUUGAUGAAGUGUCAUGUGCCAAGGGAAUUGAAAAUGGAUUAAUAGCCACAAUAUCGACAUCAGGAGCCACAGAGUUCUCCACAGAAUAAGAUACUGAAGAAUCUUCGACUCCCAAAUUGGGAUUGAUGUUA